ACAAGCCGCCGCCCAGCGACAUGCUGAGGUACCACGACGGCGCCGUGCUGAGCGGCGACAUCUCCGUCUCCGUCCUCUGGUACGGCCGCUUCACGCCGGCGCAGAAGGCCAUCGUCACCGACUUCCUCCUCUCCCUCUCCGCCGCGGCGCAGGGGCCGUCCGUCGCCCAGUGGUGGAGCAACAUCAACCGGCUCUACCUCUCCAAGGCGGCGGCCGCCAGCAAGAACGGCGCCCACGGCGGCGGCGCCAGGAUCGCGCGGGUGGUCCUGGCCGGGCAGGUCUCGGACGAGGGUUGCUCGCUGGGGAAGAGCCUGAAGAUGUCCCAGCUCCCGGCGCUGGCGGCGAGGGCGCGCCCGGCGAAGGUGGGCGGCGGCGUCGCGCUGGUGCUCACGGCGCAGGACGUGGCGGUGGAGGGCUUCUGCGCGAGCCGGUGCGGGCACCACGGCUCGUACGGCGGCGGCGGCGCGCGCGCGGCGUACGCGUGGGUGGGGAACCCGGCGACGCAGUGCCCCG
rnacentral:lncRNA from 1 species